UACGGAGGAUGCGAGUGUUAUCCGGAAUCACUGGGCGUAAAGCGUCUGUAGGUGGUCAAAUAAGUCAACUGUUAAAUCUUGAGGCUCAACCUCAAAAUCGCAGUCGAAACUAUUAGACUAGAGUAUAGUAGGGGUAAAGGGAAUUUCCAGUGGAGCGGUGAAAUGCGUAGAGAUUGGAAAGAACACCGAUGGCGAAGGCACUUUACUGGGCUAUUACUAACACUCAGAGACGAAAGCUAGGGUAGCAAAUGGG
rnacentral:rRNA from 1 species